ACGCUCGACAUCUACGGGAGGCAGCAGUGAGGAAUAUUGGUCAAUGGACGCAAGUCUGAACCAGCCAUGCCGCGUGCAGGAUGACGGCUCUAUGAGUUGUAAACUGCUUUUGUACGAGGGUAAACGCAGAUACGUGUAUCUGUCUGAAAGUAUCGUACGAAUAAGGAUCGGCUAACUCCGUGCUAGCAGCCGCGGUAAUCUGAGCGGGCUGGCAAGGC
rnacentral:rRNA from 1 species